rnacentral:misc_RNA from 1 species
AUUAUACGAGUACGAAACUUGGUGAUAUUACGAACGAGUUUAUAAUUUCUAAAUUAAAUCGCGUCUUACGAAAAUUCAAAAAGUGUCUGACUACGUUUUUGGCGCGGUGUAUAUUUAUGUGCGUUUACGGGGUUUUCAUUAAACGCUUGCAAACGCGUUUUCCAAAAUCGUGAAAUAUCACAAAGUAUUUUCCAAAUAAAAAUUAUUUCUUUCAUAUCAUCAUAACGCGAGUUUUGACGAAGCGAUCGCUUUCGCUAUUUACUUACCGAACAAUUUCCACACGGUUACUACGUCCAGGUUGAAGUACUCCAGAAGUCCGUACCAGUGGAAAAGGUGGACGCAUAGUACCGGAAGCGAACGUCCUGAAAAUCAAACGCAACGUGAUACGACGGGAAUGGUAUCUAAGCUCAGAAAAAUUCCAAAUGAUGAAAGGAAGAUAGAUAAAACGAGGAGAGAGGAAGGAAUAAAGAAGAGAAUUAACAACGUUUGCACGGAUGCGAUUCGCAUUUCUAAUAGCUU